UGUUCCUUUAGUAUCAAUUAGUACAAUUGACUUCCAAUCAAUUAGCCCUAGUACAAUUCUAGGAAGGAACAA
rnacentral:tRNA from 1 species